GGAGGAGGAGGAGGAAAGCAUUUGUGGGGCUGGAAGUUCUGAGUUCAAAUCCCAGCAACCACAUGGUGGUUCACAACCAUCUGUAAUGAGAUCCGAUACCCUCUUCUGGUGUAUCUGAAGACAGCUACAGUGUACUUAUAUAUAAUAAAUGAAUAAAUCUUUAAGAAAAUACCUAAAAAAUAAGGAGGAAGAGUGUCUUGUGUAAACCAAACAGGUGUUGCCAGGAAACACCUAAGUGGUAGGUAGACACCAAAAGUACACAUGGAUGGAUGUCACUCAUCAGACAGGCAAACAUAAAGGGGGAGGUUUAAUCCAGUAUUCAGGAGCUUGUAGGGCAGAGAGGACACUCAGUGCCUGUCGCAGCUGUCAGCCCCACUCCCUAGGGAGAGCCAGUAAAUUAUCCUGCCAAGUGUGAUUGCUUGGCUGCUCCUCUCCACUUAGGACUUGUGUUUGCUCUCUUUACCCCGGAGGUACUUGAGCUCCUGCGGUAUUAACGGGGCAAGAGAGACAGGACGACUCCUUUCCCCCAUGAGAACAAAGAACCCCAAGCAACCCUGGCUGAGAACGCAGACCAGCCUGGAGUACACAGAUAUGAAUAAUUUAAAAACCUCUGUAAUCAAGUCAUGUAACUUUUCAAGGUCAAAUGGAUAAGACGCGGUGUAUCGUAAUGGGAUCUGGCACGGAAAAUGAAUCACCUCGGCUUCACUUGAAAGCCAGUUUCAAGGGCAGAGCGGUACUGAAUGGGGUAUGAUAAUGCAUUAUAACAGCGCACUGCCCAUCGACUGUUUGCCCAAGUGUUUUGGAGGCUGGGAGCCAAGUCCCAGGUCCCAGGGCCAGAGGAGCCACCUGGGACGGCCCCGGGCGAGGGUGGGGCUGCCAGAAGCCACACGUAGACUUCAGAAGCUUCUCCAAGACCACGUUUCCUGCUUUGCUGCUGCCUCUUUCCUGAAGUUAUUACCUGGGUCCUUGGAUGCUGGUCAUCAAACUGCACUCAGUAGGUGCUUAGUGAAGGCAGGGUCUCCUUCCGGUCCGGCUUCCUAUUCCAUUGCUUUCACACCUCGGGUCUGAGUCCCAUCCUCUUCUCUGGCCAAGUGCAGGCCUCCAGAGUACUCACAAUCUACUGAGCUGAGUCCUGAGUUUCUAAGCUGACCGUAGGAGAGGGGCCAGAGCUGUCAUCCUAGAGAAUGUUACUGGCUAGAGAAUGUCACUGGCUCCCUGAGUGCCAGGACGAGUGGUGUAGUUGUCAUUGAGGCUGUGUCCAGAUAUAUCCCCACCUGACCCCACAGCCACAGCUGUUCUGGAAGCUGGUACAGUGAACUGGAGAAUCUGUGACCCCAGCUCAUCAGUCCCCAGGGUUUCUGCACCACCUGUCCAUCAAGAUAGAGGAAUGACACAUGCACUGCUCCCUGCUCUGAGCCCUCAUUCUCUCGCUUCAGGAAGGGCGGGGUUGUGGGAGGCAACCUGCAAGUCUCCAGUAACAGAGAUUCUCAAUUUUUUUUUUUUUUUUUUGCAGAAUUUCCUUGAGUCUACAAAGCUAACCAGUGAAAACAUACAUUCCUGUUUUUUGCUUUGCUUAAACUGGAGUUUUUAGCUCACCAGCACCUGCAGGAGUCAAAAAUAGACAAAGUCAGGGGAGAGAAAAUCUGGGGCCUUUCAAAGCCUACAAGGAACAGAGCUCUAGGUGACAUGGUUCUGAAGACAGAACCAGACCAUCGGGGUAGCAUGCGGAUGUACCACUGGCCUCCAGAUAGUCUGAAAGCCAGUCUAAGGAAAUGACAUGGAUGACAGUAUAUGACAUGGGAUGUGAAUGGUGUUAAAAAAGAAAUCAAGAAAUUUUAA